UACGUAGGGCGCAAGCGUUGUCCGGAAUUAUUGGGCGUAAAGAGCUCGUAGGCGGCCUGUUACGUCUGCUGUGAAAUCCCGGGGCUUAACCCCGGGCGUGCAGUGGAUACGGGCAGGCUGGAGGCAGGCAGGGGAGAACGGAAUUCCCGGUGUAGCGGUGAAAUGCGCAGAUAUCGGGAGGAACACCGAUGGCGAAGGCAGUGUUCUGGGCCAGUACUGACGCUGAGGAGCGAAAGCGUGGGGAGCGAACAGG
rnacentral:rRNA from 1 species